rnacentral:lncRNA from 1 species
UUUCUUACAUCACUACAUAAGUGAAUAGUGGGAAAACAAAAGGGAAUACUGUUUUACUUCUUCAAGCCUUCAAAAAAAGUGGAAUGGAAGGAAAUAUUUUACACAGCUUUGAACAGUAUGUGAAAGGGAGCAGCAAAGAACAGGGACAUGAUACCUCUGCUGGCAAGGCAGGGACCUCACCGACCCGGGCCAAGCCUGCUGUCCACAGGAGAGGUGGUAAUCCUGUGGGAAGGCCUUGGUUACACAUACUGGUUUUGUUGAAAACUUUUAUCCUUCCAUGAUCAUUUUCUUCUGCUCUGAAAAUCUGAUAAACUUUUAAGGAAUGACCUAUUUUCAUGCACUCAAGAUGCUUACACAUCAGCUUGAUACAUAUGUUUUAAUGAUUCUAAUUAUACUGUGAGAGAGUAUUUUUGUCUGAGUUUCUGGGACAAUAUGCUUGUAAGCAUUCAUUGCUGUAUUUUUGAAUCUAGAAAAGGAGGAA